AUAGAGAGAGGGACACGUGAGAGUGAGAGAAGAAUGGGGAAGUUAGUUUAAGAUAUUUGACUUAGUUGAAUUUAAAUUUAAAUUAUGAGGAAUUUUAUAUUAGUAAUUAAUCAAUAUUUUAUUCCUUAAAAAAAAAAAAAAAAAAAAAAAAAAAAAAGGUAUAGCUGAGUUUAAAUUUUAAAUUCUUAGAUUUUUUCUAAUCAGUUGAAUAUAUACGAUAUGGUUUUACCAUUCAAUGAAACGAUGAACACAAAUUUCAUUCUCUACUUCUUUCUCUCCACUUAGAUAAUUCCUAAAUCUCUCAUAGCCUCUAUCACACCAAAUUACAGCAUAGCAUAAAUUGAAGCCUCUAUCACAAUAUUCAAUUUCUAAGGGCCUAGAAGGUAUCGUAGGAGUUAAUUACAGCGGAGUUGAGAUAAGUAAGCCUGUAAGCUUUCGGUGACAAGUUGAGUCUGGGCAGCAUGGGGUGUAUCUCGUGUGAUCAUGUAACUGCGUGUGGUCUUGGCCAUCUUCUGCUGAAAGUUUUUUUUUUAAUUUAUUAAACUUAUCGAGGAUGUUGUCGUUUAAAUUUUCUAUUACUUUUCCCUAAGUGGUAAUACUUUAUUUUCAACUGGGUACCCAUGUUUUGAAAAUUGUUUUUUUUUUAAUAAAGGCAACAUUAGUAUCUUAA